CAUGCAAGUCGGGCGAGUCGGGGGGCAACCCCUAGGCGAGCGGCGAACGGGUGAGUAUCGCGUGAAUAACCUGCCCUACAGUAAGGAACAACCGGCCCAACGGCCGGCUAAUGCCGUAUAUAGCGGGGCUUCGCAUGGAGCCUUGGCGAAAGAUUUAUCGCUGUGGGAUGGAUUCGCGUCCGAUUAGGCAGUUGGCGGGGUAACGGCCCACCAAACCAUCGAUCGGUAGCCGGCCUGAGAGGGCGAUCGGCCACAUUGGGACUGAGAUACGGCCCAGACUCCUACGGGAGGCAGCAGCAGGGAAUAUUGCGCAAUGGGGGCAACCCUGACGCAGCGACGCCACGUGUGGGAAGGAGCGCUUAGGCGUGUAAACCACUGUCGCGAGGGAACAGCGGCCGCUUUCGGGCGGUUUGAGUGUACCUUGAGAGGAAGCGCCGGCAAACUUCGUGCCAGCAGCCGCGGUAAUACGAGGGGCGCGAGCGUUGUUCGGAAUCACUGGGCGUAAAGGGAGCGCAGGCUGCCCUUCAAGCCGGGCGUGCAAGCCCGCGGCCUAACCGCGGAAUUGCGCCCGGGACUGUGGGGCUUGGAUUUUUCAGAGGCUGGCGGAAUUCCCGGUGGAGCGGUGGAAUGCGUAGAUAUCGGGAAGAACACCGGAGGCGAAGGCGGCCAGCUGGGAAAACAUCGACGCUGCAGCUCGAAAGCGCGGGUAGCAAACAGGAUUAGAUACCCUGGUAGUCCGCGCCGUAAACGAUGCAUGCUUGGCGCCCGGGGGCAUUAUACCCCUGGGUGCCGCAGCUAACGCGCUAAGCAUGCCGCCUGGGGAGUACGCCCGCAAGGGUGAAACUCAAAGGAAUUGACGGGGGCCCGCACAAGCGGUGGAGCAUGUGGUUUAAUUCGACGCAACGCGCAGAACCUUACCAGGGUUUGACAUGGGGAAGAAGUGCCCAGAGAUGGGCAUGCCCAGCAAUGGGCUUCCCGCACAGGUGCUGCAUGGCUGUCGUCAGCUCGUGUCGUGAGAUGUUGGGUUAAGUCCCGCAACGAGCGCAACCCGUGCCCUUGGUUGCUAAUAUAGCUCUCCAGGGGGACUGCCGG
rnacentral:rRNA from 1 species